rnacentral:piRNA from 1 species
UUGCGAUGCUUCAGAAACCAGGUGUGGCUUU